AGCAGCCGCGGUAAUUCCAGCUCCAAUAGCGUAUAUUAAAGUUGUUGCAGUUAAAAAGCUCGUAGUUGAAUUUCGGGAUCAAUACGUCGGUCGUGCUUCGGUACGUACUGGUGUCAUUGAUUUCUCCCUUCUGACGAACCAUGAUGUCAUUAACUUGGUGUCAUGGGAAAUCAGGACUGUUACUUUGAAAAAUUAGAGUGUUUAAAGCAGGCUCACGCUCGAAUACAUUAGCAUGGAAUAAUGAAAUAGGACGUUCGAUCCUAUUUUGUGGUUUCUAGGAUUGACGUAAUGAUUAAUAGGGAUAGUUGGGGGCAUUAGUAUUCAAUUGUCAGAGGUGAAAUUCUUGGAUUUAUUGAAGACUAACUACUGCGAAAGCAUUUGCCAAGGAUGUUUUCAUUAAUCAAGAACGAAAGUUAGGGGAUCGAAGACGAUCAGAUACCGUCGUAGUCUUAACCAUAAACUAUGCCGACUAGGGAUCGGAUGAUGUAAUAUUAAUGA
rnacentral:rRNA from 1 species